rnacentral:rRNA from 1 species
UACGGAGGGUGCGAGCGUUGUCCGGAAUCAUUGGGCGUAAAGGGCGCGUAGGUGGCGGCUUAAGCGUGCGGUGAAAGCUCGGGCUCAACCCGAGUCGGCCGUGCGAACUGAGUCGCUUGAGCACUGUAGAGGCAGGCGGAAUUCCGGGUGUAGCGGUGGAAUGCGUAGAGAGUCCGGAAGAACACCGGUGGCGAAGGCGGCCUGC